rnacentral:rRNA from 1 species
CNCCCUACGGGGGAAAAAUUUAUUGCUAUUAGAUGAGCCUAUAUUAGAUUAGUUAGUUGGUGAGGUAAAGGCUUACCAAGACAAUGAUCUAUAGCUGAUCUGAGAGGAUGAUCAGCCACACUGGAACUGAGAUACGGUCCAGACUCCUACGGGAGGCAGCAGUGGGGAAUAUUGGACAAUGGGCGAAAGCCUGAUCCAGCCAUGCCGCAUGAGUGAAGAAGGCCUUCGGGUUGUAAAGCUCUUUUAGUGAGGAAGAUAAUGACGGUACUCACAGAAGAAGUCCUGGCUAACUCCGUGCCAGCAGCCGCGGUAAUACGGAGAGGGCUAGCGUUAUUCGGAAUCAUUGGGCGUAAAGGGCGCGUAGGCGGGUUAGUAAGUUAAAAGUGAAAUCCCAAGGCUCAACCUUGGAACUGCUUUUAAAACUGCUAGUCUAGAGAUUGAAAGAGGAUAGAGGAAUUCCUAGUGUAGAGAUGAAAUUCGUAAAUAUUAGGAGGAACACCAGUGGCGAAGGCGUCUAUCUGGUUCAAAUCUGACGCUGAGGCGCGAAGGCGUGGGGAGCAAACAGGAUUAGAUACCCUGGUAGUCCACGCUGUAAACGAUGAAUGUUAAAUAUGGGAAGUUUACUUUCUGUAUUAUAGCUAACGCGUUAAACAUUCCGCCNGGGGACUACNGUCGCAAGAUUAAAACUCAAAGGAAUUGANGGGGACCC